CAAAGGUCUCUUAGUGGAUCACCUCUACCACCACCUGGAGCUGGAGGACCUACAGGACUUCUGCUGUAGGAGACACAUACCACACCUCAUAAUGAGGAACCAGUGUUAGUUACUGAUUGAUUGUUUAGGAAGGACAGUUCCCUUGCCUUCAUGUGGUUCUUCUUCAUCAUGGUGAUCCAGUGUGCUGUCUGGGUCUUGUUUGCUCUAGGUCCUCCCAGUUUCUCAAUUGGUAUUAUUUCAGGUGCUAAUGUUAUCAAGGCCAGUAAACCAAUCGGUGGUAUGUGGAUAGCUCUCUCCUUCCUCUGGCUAUUAUUAUACUAGGGCCACUUUGACUUUUAAAUCUGCAUAAUGUAAUAACUUUCUUAUUUUAAAUGCUACAGACAGCGGUUUUUUGCAUUAUGAUCCUCUCCAAAACCCCGGUAUUUUGAUAUAUGAUACAACUAGAGCGCAGUUA